CCAAAUUGUGCCCAGUGAACAUAAGUGACGACACAACCAAAACGAUUGUACCGCAGGUUGUGAAAUAAUAUGUCCAAAUUGCGCCCAGUGAACACAAGCGACAACACAACCAAAACAAUUGUGCCGCAGGUUGUGAAAUAAUCUGCCCAAAUUGCGCCCAGUGAACACAAGCGACAACACAACCAAAACAAUUGUGCCGCAG
rnacentral:misc_RNA from 1 species